ACGGCCUUUGAUAUACCAGUCGUGGUUCACUGACUGGGAACGAGAAAUAGCACAAUGGGACCACCGACGGGGAUUGAUCCCACACCGACCGCGCAUCAGGCGAGUGCUUUACCACUGUAUGCAAGGUUUCACGUAGGGGAAGACUAGAGGAAACUUUACGUAAUGCUUUGGCAGUUGUCGACAACCAAAUGGUCGCAAGCUACUGUGUCUAAAAUACACCUUUUUUUCCCCUUCUAAAUCUGAUGCCACAAGACCAGAUUUAGACCAAUCACGACAUGGUCUGGUCAGGUCACAGGGUUUUACGUGCACAUUCAGAACAAGCUGUUGUAGCGCACGCCUGUCCUGGGCGCAGGUGCCGGCCUCGGCCAGCUCAUCGGUCCAGGAAAAGUCGUGACAUUAAAUUUACAUGUUGUUAACCAGUGCCAACUUGUCACGUGGGAACACACUGUUCUCUACGUCACUACAAGAAAGAACAGCGCAGGUUAUUAAAUUUACAUGUUGUUAACCAGUGCCAACGUGUCACGUGGGAACACACUGUUCUCUACGUCACUACAAGAUAGAACAGCGCAGGUUAUUAAAUUUACAUGUUGUUAACCAGUGCCAACAUGUCACGUGGGAACACACUGUUCUCUACAUCACUACAAGAAAGAACAGCACAGGUUAUUAAAUUUACAUGUUGUUAACCAGUGCCAACUUAUCACGUGGGAACACACUGUUCUCUACGUCACUACAAGAAAGAACAGCACAGGUUAUUAAAUUUACAUGUUGUUAACCAGUGCCAACUUAUCACGUGGGAACACACUGUUCUCUACGUCACUACAAGAAAGAACAGCACAGGUUAUUAAAUUUACAUGUUGUUAACCAGUGCCAACUUAUCACGUGGGAACACACUGUUCUCUACGUCACUACAAGAAAGAACAGCACAGGUUAUUAAAUUUACAUUUAAAUUUACAUGUUGUUAACCAGUGCCAACUUAUCACGUGGGAACACACUGUUCUCUACAUCACUACAAGAAAGAACAGCACAGGUUAUUAAAUUUACAUGUUGUUAACCAGUGCCAACUUG